CGAUGACGAUGACGAUGACGAUGACGAUGACGAUGACGAUGACGAUGAUGGUGAUGAUGAUCAUCAUCACCAUCGUCAUCAUCAUUGUCACCACCAUCA
rnacentral:pre_miRNA from 1 species